UCAGGAGGAACUAUUGAGCUCGCUGCCUGGAAGCCACCGCACACAUCCAGGCCUGCCACACACAGGUUGGGCUGCUGAGCUGGCAUAGAGAGUUUCAGAUAUUUAUUAAUGAUUUCGUGUAUUUAGAGGGGAACGAUUUCCUGGAUAAGUGGAAAAUUGUGCAGGUGGCUUCUGGAAGACCUUCAUUUUAAGCAGCUUUAUAGUGAAACAUUUCAUUUAGAAGUCUGGACCUUCUUCAGUUUGCUGCAAUCUCCGUUCACUGAGUAGAACUUGUAUUGAUUCUUGGGACCCAGUUUGUUCCCGGGUUCUGGAUUGAACGAAUACCAGGCGCAAGACACACAGCGCUGCUCCAGUACCUUUGGCUCCAUGACAUAGGAAGAGGAGCAUCAAGCUUGGCUGCUUCUUGGAACGUCUCGGAAGAUCUGGCAGAACGUGGUGGCGGCAGAAGCCUAGAGUCUAGAAGGAGGGAACAGAUCUGCAAGGAAGAGAUUCCGCUAAGAGAACAGAUCUUCAGCCUUCUUUCUGCACACAGAAAAGGUAACUGUGAGUUGAGGGAUGUGUUAAAAUUACCUUAAUUGUGGUCAUUUCACAAUGUGUACGUAUAUCAAAUUGUAUUGUGCACUUUAAGUAUAUACAGUUUCAUUUGUCAAUUAAAAAUAAAGCUGGGAAAAAAUUACAAAUAAACUGUCAAGUAGA